AACAAAAUAUCUGAAAACCCUAUCUCUUUUCUUUCCAAGCCACUCUCCCCUCUCACACUUCCCCGAUCCAUCUCCUUCUCUCUCUCCUGCUCAAAACACCAGCAGCUGGGGGCUUCAACUACGACGGCGAGGGGCCAUAUGAGGCUUCAACAACGGUGGAGGUCGACGGGGCUGACAGAGGCUCAACGGGACUGCUGGAGGCUUGACAACGCGGACUCGGAUUCGUUGGUGCAGGUAACGAUCUCUCUCUCUCUCUGUAGUUGACCGACGACUGGGUUGCGUGGGCUAGAGAUGGUGGUGCGAUGGGGUGCCAUGGGUGUUCAGUCCAUGGCUCUGUGUGGUGUUGUCUUCUCCAAAGCCGACCACACUCCUCCAGUCGACGGUACACCGACGCUCCUCGAGUCGUGCGAAGCCACCGCUCGCCACCGUUAUUGGCCCCAAGCUGAAGAGACUGAAGUUGAGAAAAAACAACUGGAGCUCGGAAUCUUAUAGAUUUGAUGAAGUUUUUACAGACACUGCCUCCCAAAGGCGAGUUUACGAAGCGGUUGCCAAGCCUGUAGUUGAGAGUGUCUUGAAUGGAUAUAAUGGAACAGUUAUGGCUUACGGUCAAACAGGUACUAGUAAAACUUACACACUCAGCAGGCUGGGUAAAGAUGAUACGUCUGAGCGUGGUAUAAUGGCCAGAGCUCUGGAGGACAUACUUUCUUGUACAUCUCCUGGUUUUGAUAGUGUGGAAAUUUCCUACUUGCAGGCAGAAGGGAUCUUCAGGAUCAAUGCAGGAAAUAGUCAAGAGGAGAUUGUUCGGGAUGGCUAGGGAGAAGACUAUUUUCCAUGAAUUUUUUGGAAAAAAACAAUGGAGCAGUCUCAGUUGAUGUCAAUGGAUCAUGUGAGAGGGGUAAAUGUUGCAAUUAGCUGAUAUGGAGCAAAGUCGUAUGCUUGCUAAUACAUUAGCUCAGAACAAUGAUCCUAAAUUUCAUGUUUGUAAGCUAUGGUGUGCUGCAACUCUAUGAUGCUCUUGUUUUCAACAUGAAGAUAUUCUUCUUUAUUGCAUGGGAAGAAAAGUAAAGCACGAGGUCCCUGAAGAUUGGGUCUGUGAAUCAUGCCAAAGUGUCAGUGACUCAGUUUUGAUGGAAUCUAGGAAGAGAGAUGAAGCUGUCACAAUAGCAAUGAGCAAGGGGCAAUUGUCAAUUUCACAGCUUCAUUCCAAGAAGAAAAAGCCAGUAGAAACUGGUAAAGUUAAGUUCAUUCCUCAUGAAGAAAUACUUGAAAGAAAUCCUUAAUAAUAAUAAAAAAUUGUGAUGUUGUGAAAUCAUUCCUUGCUUGAAAAGAAAAAUGCUCAGGCAUUUUUUUUUGGUGUAGCACGGCUUGCUUUAAGGAAUACUCAAUGCUUCUUUGUGACUGGCACUUGUGGUUGUAGUUUUGAUAGUUUUUCAUGAGGCCUCUUUGCUGUCUUUGUUGGUCUCUGUUUGUAGUUUUGUGUCUUAUAUGUACUAUCUUAGUCAGAGGCUGUCUAGACUGUAAAACAGUACAAGUGAUUUCAUAUCAUCUUUUUUUAAUACAAUCUUGUUUGGUUGGGAUUGAAAUGAUUGUGUUUGUGUGAGAAUAGAAAUAGAAUGGGAAAGAAAUAUCAAUUCUUUUGUUUGGUUGAAA